rnacentral:rRNA from 1 species
GGUUAAGCGACUAAGCGUACACGGUGGAUGCCCUGGCAGUCAGAGGCGAUGAAGGACGUGCUAAUCUGCGAAAAGCGACGGCGAGGUGAUAUGAACCUUUGACCCGUCGAUGUCCGAAUGGGGAAACCCAGUGUGUUCCGACACACUAUCGUUAACUGAAUACAUAGGUUAACGAGGCGAACCGGGGGAACUGAAACAUCUAAGUACCCCGAGGAAAAGAAAUCAACCGAGAUUCCCCCAGUAGCGGCGAGCGAACGGGGAGCAGCCCGGAGUCUGAAUCAGCUUGUGUGUUAGUGGAACGGUCUGGAAAGUCCGACGGUACAGGGUGAUAGUCCCGUACACGAAAAUGCACAGGUUGUGAACUCGAAGAGUAGGGCGGGACACGUGGUAUCCUGUCUGAA